rnacentral:rRNA from 1 species
AUUGAACGCUGGCGGCAGGCCUAACACAUGCAAGUCGAGCGAGCGGCGGACGGGUGAGUAAUGUAUGGGGGCUGCCCGAUAGAGGGGGAUAACUCCUGGACACGGUCGCUAAUACCGCAUACUCUCGGAUUACCCACAUGGGCUUAGCUAGUAGGUGAGGUAAUGGCUCACCUAGGCGACGAUCCCUCGAUGGUCUGAGAGGAUGAUCAGCCACACGGGAACUGAGACACGGCCCAGACUCUUACGGAGGCAGCAGUGGGGAAUAUUGCACAAUGGGCGCAAGCCUGAUGCAGCCAUGCCGCGUGUAUGAAGAAGGCCCUAGGGUUGUAAAGUACUUUUGGCAGAGAAGCGGUAUCUGCAGAAUAAGCACCGGCUAACUACGUGCCAGCAGCCGCGGUAAUUC